CCUAUCUCGUUGUAGAAGCUUGUCCGAAAUCCAUCCGCUAUGGGGAAGCUCGGCUGAAGUCUACCUGUAAUAGAAGUUCAGAAGAAAUUCAUUUACAGUAGAGGCUCGAAUGGAAUUUGCUUAUAGUAGAUAUCCAGAGUAGACCGCCUGCAGUGGGAGUUCGACUCUCGCAGGAGCUCAGUUAGAAUCCGGAAGGCGAUCGACUAUCGUAGAAACUUGGAUGGAGCCUGGUUACUGUAGAAAUCUCGUUGUCGGAGAAGCUCGGAUAUUGACGAAGUCUGGAAGAAGUUUGAAGUAGGGUCGC
rnacentral:lncRNA from 1 species